rnacentral:piRNA from 1 species
UACUUCGUGUUCCCAUUCACUCCUAACUG